rnacentral:rRNA from 1 species
CCUACGGGAGGCAGCAGUAGGGAAUCUUCCGCAAUGGACGAAAGUCUGACGGAGCAACGCCGCGUGAGCGAUGAAGGCCUUCGGGUCGUAAAGCUCUGUUGUUAGGGAAGAACAAGUGCUAGUUGAAUAAGCUGGCACCUUGACGGUACCUAACCAGAAAGCCACGGCUAACUACGUGCCAGCAGCCGCGGUAAUACGUAGGUGGCAAGCGUUGUCCGGAAUUAUUGGGCGUAAAGCGCGCGCAGGCGGUUUCUUAAGUCUGAUGUGAAAGCCCCCGGCUCAACCGGGGAGGGUCAUUGGAAACUGGGAAACUUGAGUGCAGAAGAGGAAAGUGGAAUUCCAAGUGUAGCGGUGAAAUGCGUAGAGAUUUGGAGGAACACCAGUGGCGAAGGCGACUUUCUGGUCUGUAACUGACGCUGAGGCGCGAAAGCGUGGGGAGCAAACAGGAUUAGAUACCCUGGUAGUCCACGCCGUAAACGAUGAGUGCUAAGUGUUAGGGGGUUUCCGCCCCUUAGUGCUGCAGCUAACGCAUUAAGCACUCCGCCUGGGGAGUACGGCCGCAAGGCUGAAACUCAAAGGAAUUGACGG